GGGAUGAAUUUGGUUCCUUCACGCAAUAGAUUGAUCGGAGCUGGCGGGGUGGGGCGCUGUUAUCUCUUCGCGCAACUCAUUUAGGAUGGUCCACAUCUUGACUGCAUCUGGUUUGCAUCUAAUCCAGGCUUGGACAAGUUAUUUUCACAGCCGAAAACGAUGAGGAUUUACAGAAGUUCCAUUUUCCGGAAUCAGGAAGGAUUGAGAUGAUUCAUGACACCUGCAGGUGCCAUUCUCAAUAUAUCCCAAUGUCAACAACGACAAUGAUUAAAGGUUCUCAUUACGGCACUGGCGAUCCUGAAUCCUCAAAAGUGGGAAACAACUCGCGAAGCUCUGGAACACUCCUGAUUUGCUGGCUAUGAGGUGGCUGUACCAUGAUAUCUCUUGAAAUUUCCGCGCUGCUUCAGGAUUUCUGAUGCCAUGCCAAAUGAAUGGGAGGCGUUGCUGGGGAUUGGGACGUCUGUAAGACAGUACAGGUAGGUUUGCCGUCCUCCAGCAAGUUUGGGCGAAACGCAGGUCUCAGUCGAAUAUGAAGAGUGUUUUGUGUUUAUUCCACAUCAAGUAAUUACAUUAGGUAGUGGGAGUUAUAGUAGCUAGUUUUGAAAGGCCAAUGAGCCUGACAUUUGUGUCAGAAUGAUAAACAGGACCCUGGUAGAAUCAGCUGGUAGAUGGACGAAAACAGUGAGGCAGGAAUUGUACGGGAAUUUGGCCAGGCCCACUCUCUCUUUGCGAAACUUUCGACAAUAGGCUUACCAAAGAUACAUGGCGCAAAUGGGAUGUUGAUAUGGAAGUGUAAAUGGAAGUCAAAGCGGCGCGGGAUAAUUGUUCUACAUCAGCGGUGAUAGGAUUAUCUUAUCAUGAAUAAAGCAUUAACUAAGGGACAUAGGCUUGCAGGUGAUUUCGUCUGCAGGACCAUGCAAUGCACAUGUACACAUCAUGCCUCUUUAAUCCUUUAGCGGUGUUGUAAUUUAUAAUUAUCAAAACCAAUCGGUAUACC
rnacentral:sRNA from 1 species